AGUGGUAAAUCAGGUGUCGCUGGGUGACCGCGGGUGGCCUCGGGAGGUCCUGAGGCUAAGGGCACAGGAGACAUUUGGAGAGGUAGGGUUGUCUGGGCGAGCAGGAAUGCUUCAUAAACUGGAGCUCAAGGUCUCUGCGCCACUGGAUUCUGCCUUUCGGAAUAAGGAUGAUGUCACCCAGACGCCCACAGCUCUGACAUGGAAGUGUGGGCCUUCUGCAGACUCAGACCAUCAGAGUGACACACCAAUCAGGCAGCAGAGGACGCCGUCCUCACCCAGGAUCCCAAGUGUACUUCUCAGCACUGAAUUUGGAAAGCGGUGUUCUUAUCAGAAGAGACUGGAGAUGCAGAAAGACACCAAGCACAGGAGAAAGACAACAUGACCACCGAACAUGGGCUGAACUGAAGCACCAUGAGCUUCAGUGGCAAACACUAGAAGCUAAGAAAGACACCAAGCAGGAGUGUCCCACAGAACCUUCAUGGACCGCUGGCUCCACAGGGGCCUUUGUUUCCCCGUCUCGCUUCCAAAACUGAGACAAUCCAUGCUGCUGUCCUCAGCUGCUGACGUGGUCUGUGGCUUUUAUUGGAGAACCCUGGGGCUCGUAUAGAGGAUAGGAGAAGCACCAGCCGCCCUGGAAAAUGGGGUGUGAGCAGCAGGAAGCUGGGAAUGGCCCUCUAAGAAAAACAUCUCUAAAAAUGGGGAGUAUAGCAGACCAACAAUGUCACAUGAAACGGAAUACCCUCUUGCCUGGGUGGAUGCGUGUGCAAAUGCACUGAAAGCACAGUACAGGGGUCACUGUGAAGGUGCCCACGUCUCACUACAAAACUCUACUCAUAUUGAGUUGGCACAGAGAUCAUUAAAAGGGGCCAACAAGCAGUUUAUCAAGUAAGCAAAGGACCAAAAGAUUCCUCCUUCGGAAUCCUCAGAAUCCUAAGCAAAGGUUUGAAGAAAACUGGAUGCUAGCCCCUCUUCCUCCCUCUCCAUCUUUAUCUAGCUGGUCUGACACAUAGUCUCCAUCCAUAGGUUGCAAGCAUUCCUCAGGCAGUCCCAUGUCCUGCCAGGGUUGAAAGUCACCAUUAAAUAUCUGAACCUUCUGAGAGAAGGUCAGCCUAGGCACCAUUGUCCAUGAGUGUUCCUGGAUCACGCGCUCAGGGCCUGAGGUAAGCAAAGUGUGUGGGUUGGUGAGGUUGGCGCUUCCAGUGCCUAGAUGGCUAAGUACCGGCCCUUAUGGAAGGCUCCUCCCUGCUCUGUAAGUGCAGACCUUUCCACGGUGAGUUUUGGUGACAGUGUUGGUUCACAUGGAUGCUGCCCCAUCCGUCUGCCUGCAUUGGCAGUUGUCCAGUGUCUGGAGACGGCUGUGUUUAUUAUGUCCAACCACUGACCUGCUUACCAUGGGUACACAUGCAGUUUACUAGGACGGUCCAGCCAAAGUGCCACAAUCUGGGGUGGCUUAAGUCAAUAGACAUUCCUUCUUUCACAGUCCUGAAAGCCAGAAGGAUUAAAAUCAAAAUAGGAGAAGGGUGGCUUCCGUCAGGGGGGAUGCUUGAGCACGUCCUGAGUUCACACCCCUCCCCUGCUUUCUGAUAGCUGUUCCUUGGCAUUCCAACUUCAUAAUGCUACGCUCUGCCCCUGCUUCCACGUGGUCACCUUCCCUCUGUGUCUGUCCCAAAGGACACAAGUCAGACUGGAUUAAGGGUCCACCCUCUUCCAGGAUGACAUCAUCUAAGCUAAUUACAUCUGCAACAACCUUCCUUCUAAAUAUGGCCACAUUCUGAGAUUCCAGGAAAGCCUUGUGUGUUAGGGUAACACUAUGUGUGUUUGUUAGGGUAACACUCUGUGUGUGCGUUAGGGUAACACUAUGUGUGUUUGUUAGGGUAACACUCUGUGUGUGUGUUAGGGUAACACUAUGUGUGUUUGUUAGGGUAACACUCUGUGUGUGCGUUAGGGUAACACUAUGCAACCCAGGACAGUGGCUCACUGUGGUGCUGCUGCUGCUCCAAAUUAGAAAUUUUCACUUGGACUGCAAACUCCUGGCCAGAGGGUUGGUUUUUAUUUAUUUGAGGGGCUUUUUACAGUACUCCAAACCAAAGCAGUUUAACAGUUUGAGAUGAAUUAGGGUGAUAUAGUAAAAAUAGCCCAGUGUUCUGUAGGUGCUGGUUCCAGGGCCCACACAGUCUUGGGAGCUGCAGACUAGGAACUUGAAUUGGUGAGGGCUCUUUGGACUGAUGAACUCCAACCUCAUCUGCAUGCUGAAAGACAGUUACUACACAGUACAGGCGUUCUUGGGUACUUUGCAUUGAGGAGCUGAGUUUGGUUCUUAUGGGAGAUAUUAAGUCAUAGCUAUCCAGAGAAAUAGCCAGUCACAGGUAAGAAGACAUACAGAAAGAGAUGACUUGAUGGAAUGGGUUUAUGUAAUGACAGAGAGGCUGGCAAAUUUAAAAUUUCCAAAGUGGGCUGGCAGGCUAGAGACCAGGGAAGACUUGGUGCUACAGCCCCAGGCAGGAGACAGACUGUCCAGAGACUCCCCUCAUCCUAAGGGGUGGGGUGGGGGCUCUCUUUCUUUUUCUAGCCUGAGCUUUUUGUACCAGGAUGAUUCCCCCCCAGCACCCCUAGAAACACAAUGGAAGACAUCAAUUUGCUUUACUCCAAACCCACCAAUUCUAAUGUCAAUCUCAUUUAAAAAUUUUUUUUCAUAAGUGUCCUAAAUAACUCUUGACCAUGUAUCUGGGUACCAUGACUCAGCAACAUUGGCAUACAACUCACCCAUUACAUGAACUCUCACAGGAUCCAGCACUGGAAGAGACUCGGGAUAAAGAGAACAAGAGGCAGGUGAGAUGAAACCCCUCUUUAGACCUUAUAAAGUUGGAAGUCUAGCCCUAAGCACAACUCUCGCAAGUCUCCAUGGACACACAGCUCAUUGGGCCCCAUCAGGAACCAGUAAACCUGAGCAUGACUGAGGCUUCUACAGGACAAAUCAAUUCCUUCUGUUGCAUUUAUACAUUCUAAGUGUGUGCGUAAGAAUUUCCUAAGCAUAUCAUAAAUGUAGACAUACUUAGUAAAUGUAUAUAAAUGUAUAUUUAUAAAAAGCAAAUAAUUAUCUACC
ensembl:lincRNA 4732491K20Rik RIKEN cDNA 4732491K20 gene